rnacentral:rRNA from 1 species
UCGAACGGUAUGUGGCAACACAUAGAGUGGCGAACGGGUGAGUAACACGUGGGAACGUACCCUACGCAGGGGGAUAACUGACCGAAAGGACAGCUAAUACCGCAUAAGACCGAAAGGUGAAAGGUGCAACUGCACCGGCUAAGGAGCGGCCCGCGGACCAUCAGCUAGUUGGUGGGGUAAGAGCCUACCAAGGCAACGACGGAUAGCCGGCGUGAGAGCGUGGCCGGCCACAAGGACACUGAGAUACGGGUCCUACUCCUACGGGAGGCAGCAGUGCGGAAUUUUAGAUAAUGGAGGCAACUCUGAUCUAGCGACGCCGCGUGCAGGAAGAAGGUCUUCGGAUUGUAAACUGCUGUGGUAAGGGAAAAAUGCCAUGUAGAGUGGAAAGCUACAUGGAGGGAUGGUACUUUACUAGAAAGCCCCGGCUAACUACGUGCCA